rnacentral:rRNA from 1 species
GACGAACGCUGGCGGCGUGCUUAACACAUGCAAGUCGAACGGAAAGGCCCUGCUUUUGUGGGGUGCUCGAGUGGCGAACGGGUGAGUAACACGUGAGUAACCUGCCCUUGACUUUGGGAUAACUUCAGGAAACUGGGGCUAAUACCGGAUAGGAGCUCCUGCUGCAUGGUGGGGGUUGGAAAGUUUCGGCGGUUGGGGAUGGACUCGCGGCUUAUGAGCUUGUUGGUGGGGUAGUGGCUUACCAAGGCUUUGACGGGUAGCCGGCCUGAGAGGGUGACCGGCCACAAUGGGACUGAGAUACGGCCCAGACGCCAACGGGAGGCAGCAGUGGGGAAUAUUGCACAAUGGGCGGAAGCCUGAUGCAGCAACGCCGGGUGCGGGAUGACGGCCUUCGGGUUGUAAACCGCUGUCGCCUGUGACGAAGCGUGAGUGACGGUAAUGGGUAAAGAAGCACCGGCUAACUACGUG